rnacentral:rRNA from 1 species
GCCUAACACAUGCAAGUCGAGCGAUCUUCUUCGGAAGAGAGCGGCGGACGGGUGAGUAACGCGUGGGUAACCUGCCCUGUACACACGGAUAACAUACCGAAAGGUAUGCUAAUACGGGAUAACAUAAGAAAGUCGCAUGGCUUUCUUAUCAAAGCUUUUGCGGUACAGGAUGGACCCGCGUCUGAUUAGCUAGUUGGUAAGGUAACGGCUUACCAAGGCGACGAUCAGUAGCCGACCUGAGAGGGUGAUCGGCCACAUUGGAACUGAGACACGGUCCAAACUCCUACGGGAGGCAGCAGUGGGGAAUAUUGCACAAUGGGCGAAAGCCUGAUGCAGCAACGCCGCGUGAGCGAUGAAGGCCUUCGGGUCGUAAAGCUCUGUCCUCAAGGAAGAUAAUGACGGUACUUGAGGAGGAAGCCCCGGCUAACUACGUGCCAGCAGCCGCGGUAAUACGUAGGGGGCUAGCGUUAUCCGGAAUUACUGGGCGUAAAGGGUGCGUAGGCGGUCUUUCAAGUCAGAAGUGAAAGGCUACGGCUCAACCGUAGUAAGCUUUUGAAACUGUAAGACUUGAGUGCAGGAGAGGAGAGUGGAAUCCCUAGUGUAGCGGUGAAAUGCGUAGAUAUUAGGAGGAACACCAGUUGCGAAGGCGGCUCUCUGGACUGUAACUGACGCUGAGGCACGAAAGCGUGGGGAGCAAACAGG